GUCAGUCCUCCUUUACAGGCUCUCCUUCCACAACAUUCCUCCUACCCCCCCCCCCCGGCAGCUGAGGAGGGGGAGAAAAGUAGCAUUUUGCCCAAUUUAAUACGACUUUCUUAAAAGAGGAAGGGCGGAAGAGAGCAGCGCAGAGAGGAGGGGGUCAGCCAGGAGGAGGGGGCAUAUUUCAAAGCUCCGGGGCAGCCACAGAGACCAAAUGAGCCAGUGGCAACCGUAACUGGACCUCUUGGAGGAACGUAGGAAGCUGCCUUAUACCGAGUCUAUCUAGCUCAGGAACCACAGGCAGUGGCUUCUCCAAGGUUACAGGCAGGAGUCUCUCUCAGGAACGGGUGCCCCCAUACUAGGGAAUUGGAACGUCCCCCUUCUCGUAAUCAGGUUAGUAAACCUGUAUGUCAUUUAUGCAAUGCUCGUGCAUAGGAAUAGGGAGGGAAGACGCGACCAAGAGGUUCACGCAGAUGAGACAGUAAAUCUCUUCUGGAAAAGUUUGUAUGGUUAUGUGCAAAAAGACAAGAGUAUCUCUUCUAAACACCAAUGGGACAAAUUGUGGAAAUGGACGUCGGACGUAACCUCCCCGAUUACCUGAUGUGCCUUGUAAUCCCCCACCCCCGAGUUACAGUACUACCUGCAUAUACUUCAUAACUUGUGUGUUUCCAAAUCCUUGUGUGUAAAGCUUUGUAGAUAUAUCAUGUACAAACAACCACUUUGUAUAUAAUUGUGCUUUGGCAACGUACUGUAUGCUUUGGUAGUUUGUUGGUUCAAUAAAAAAAAUCUUGUCCUAUAAAAAAAAAAAAUCUUGUCCUAACUGGAGAUGCCAGGGAGGGAAUUUGGAACCUUCUGCAUGCAAGCAGGCAGGUGCUCUUCGCAGAGCGACCCAAUCCCCUAAGGGGCAUAUCUUACAGUGCUCACAUGUCUCCCACUCAAAUGCAAACCAGGAUGGACUCUGCUUUGCAAAGGGGACAAUUCAUGCUUGCUACCACAAGACCAGCUCUCCUCCCAUUCUUCAGGCGUCUGUUUUCCAAUAUACAUAGUCCUUCAGUGGCUACCUUCAGAAGGGUACCUUCUGUGAGGAUGCCCCAGCUGUGCUGUAGACUUUCCUCCCCUAGGAGAUUCACCUAGCUACCUUUUAGGCUCUGGGACAAGUCUGUCCUGUUUGCUUGAGCUUUUGAACAGUAAUUAACACCAACUGUUUUGAUUGCUUCUCUAGUUAACAGCUUUUUUGGUAUUGUUAGUAUCUUUUAUGUGUUGUUGCAAUCUUUAACUCAAGUUGUAAGGCACCUGGAAGAUGUUUACUAUAGAAAGGCUAUUAAUUUAACAUAAUUUAAUAAAGAAAAGUCUGUGAAAAUAAACAAAACGGCACCAUAGCAGUUUUUGCCAAGCAUCCUGUUUCCUAGAGCCGGAACUACUGGACAGAGAAUCCGGCUUCUUUUGUACUUUUAAUAUUCCAUGACCAAUCCUGUUUUCUUCUUAUGUCACAAAGGCCAGAAGUCCAGCUCUUGUAAAAUACAGGCAGUGGUCAUGCUGUCUUGAAGAUAUCAAGAAGCUUUGAUGUAUACACCUAUUAAGGACAAAGGCUUUUCAUUAAUCUGGGCAAUUCCAUAAUAGGAAAGUAUUUAAAAUUCAGCUCAUCAUCAACUUCAUGUGCUAAUUUUCCCUGAAAGGAAAGGACUGGGUUGGCUUACAUGUGAACACUGUAAGAUGUUCCCCUUAGGAGGUGGGGCUGUAGCACAGUGAUGGAGCAUCUGCUUGCAUUGUCCCAGGUGCAAUCCCUGGCAGCAUCUCCAGCUAGGGCUGGGAGAGACUCUGGCCUGAAACCUUGGAAAGCCACUCUCAGUCAGUGUAGACAAUCCUGAGAAUGGACCAAUGGCCUGACUCAUUGAAAGACAGCUAGCUUCCUAUGUUCCUAUAUAACAAAGCUACAUUAACGAAUAACCUAAAACCCUUUCCUUUGCCCAGUUCUGAAUUUUAUAAAAUAAAGAACACAGAAUAGAUGUGUUU